GGCAGCGUGGCGCAGCGGAAGCGUGCUGGGCCCAUAACCCAGAGGUCGGUGGAUCGAAACCACCUGCAGCUA
rnacentral:tRNA from 1 species